ACCUGGCUGGCUCAGUCUGUGGAGCAUGGGACUCAUCAUCUCAGGGUUGUGAGUUCAAGUCCCAUGUUGGGUG
rfam:Canis lupus familiaris chromosome 26, whole genome shotgun sequence.